CAGCGCUUUGCGGCAGCAAUCGGUGGGUUGAGACGGCCUCGCUCGGCGCUUCAGGGACGUGCGCCGGCCCUCAGCGUAGUUGUAGCAUCAGUCCUCUCCACCCUUUUGGUUUUGUUCUAUUACUCUUUUUUUAAGUCUUCUUUUCUCUCACGUGCGCUUCUUCCGGACUCGUGACUGGCGCUGUAGUGCUGGAUGAGCUUUUGUCGUGUAGCUCAUUCACGAGCAGAACCCAACUGGUUUUGUGUAGUAAACAGAAUCGCGUCGUUCCCUACAGGCUGUUGGUGGGGUUUGCAGUCACUGAUGGGGCCUCCUUAGUGCUCAGUAGUACAGAGUCAGUAACAGCCAGUCAAUUUUGUAUACCCAUGCAAAUAGCCAGCAACCACUGUGUUUAAAAUCGAGGAGGUCUGCUUGAAUUCAGGGAUCCAGGUGCCCAAAACACUGUCAGCUUGAUGUUUUAGCUGUUUUCCAUAUUCAGUGUGUCAUCAAACAUGGAUUUUUUUGUCAUUUUCAGGCUGUGAUAUUUUACUUCUAGAGUUUGGUAUUCGCUAUGCAGAAUUCUCCAGAAGUACAAAAGGAGAAGCCAUCAAGUAGGCAAGGCUGUAGCAUAAGAUGUUGCUGAGACCUGCUGUUGUCCCAUGGACCUCACUGCACACUCUCUUCUUCAGUUUGCCAGAAAAAUCUACCUGCAGGGUACAGCACGGAGUCAAAUCAACUGAAAAUUUUAGCAUUUUGCAUUUUUAACACCAUUUUAUGUAGUUUCAAGUAUCAAGUGAACUGGACUUCAAUGUGAUAUCAUGAUGUUCAUUCUCUGCUUGGUCCUUGUCAUCUUCUAAGUCAAAUUCACACUUUUGUCUUGUACAUUUUGAAGAUCAGCAGGAUCCUUCACUGAGAAGUAUGAAGUACAUCAGGAGAGAAGAUCAUGUUCAUCGUGUUCAGCAGCUGAAGAGUUUUCUAAACUCAAUUAGUGCAAGAAUGCUGUGACCAAUGGAAAAAUGUUUGAUGCUUGCCAGAAAGCAAAUCUCCCCAGCUCUUGAAAAUAGCGUUCUGAAAACAAGAAGAAUAUUUUUGAACUGGAACGGUUACAUGCUGGUCCAAAAGAGAGAUGAAAGGCAUAGAGCAGUUUCCAUAGAAGCAAAGGCCAGUUGGAUUUGAAAAAAAGGGUGCUGGAGUUGAACACAAUUAUCUACAAAUAAUGAGCAGUUUGGAGAAGUUCAGUAGCAGCAAUCUUACAGCUAUUGCUUUCAACCACUGUUUCAGAAGUUACAGAAGGCAAAUCUGGAACCUCAGGACAAAGGAAGGGUAAAUGGUACAACAGUCACAUACUUAAUUCUGGCUGAAGAGUGCUGUACGGGGAUGCCAAAUCCCACACCACAGUCUGUUCAGCAGUGACCACGUGCUGCCACUGCAGAGGCGGACAAGUGCUUGAAGGUGGCCCACAAUCUAAAGUAUUGGACAUAGCUGUUGGUUUCUUCAAAUACA
rnacentral:lncRNA from 1 species